GGCCCCGGCGGGCGGCUAAGGCCUCUCUCGGUCGUUGCUGCCGCCAUCUUGUGGGCCGCCACCGCCGCCGGCCGCUCUAUCCACCUCCAUCCACCGCCCGCGCCGCCGCCCCCCCGCCGGGACUGAGCGCGGCGCCUCCGGAACGCCAUGAGGGCCAAGUGGCGCAAGAAGCGCAUGCGCAGGCUGAAGCGCAAGAGGAGGAAGAUGAGGCAGAGAUCCAAGUAGGCCCCACCGCGGGGCCGCCGCCGCCGCUGGGGAGACGACCCGGUGUGUCCGGGAGGUGCCCGGUGCCGCGGGGGGGGAAUCCCCGCCGCACCGGGCCGGUUCUGCGCUCUGUGGCGGCCGCCGCGCCGCGAAUAAAGCUGGUGUUUGUCGGGA